GCGACUAUAUAUCACAAUCGCACAGAAAGGGUAGAUAAGGAGAACCCCAAGUCGCUCAUGUAUAACAUGGGCUUUUGCCAAGUGUAAAUAGCUUGGAGAAUAAGUGGGGGGUAAGACUGGGGCCAGCAGCCGCGGUAACACCAGCGCCACGAGUGGCAACCAGCGUUAUUUGGCCUAAAGCGUCCGUAGCUGGUUUGGAAAAUCCCUUGUGAAAUCAUCGGGCCUAACCUGAUGGCGUGCAGGGGACACUACCAAACUCGAGACCGGGAGGAGUCAGAGGUAUUCAAGGGGGAGCGGUAAAAUGCUAUAAUCCCUUGAGGACCACCUGUGGCGAAGGCGUCUGACUAGAACGGAUCUGACAGUGAGGGACGAAAGCCGGGGGAGCGAUCCGGAUUAGAUAUUGAGUUUCUGCUAUAAUCGGAAUUGUCCGAUUUUCAUCAUGAUCGUUAAAAUUUACUAUGAUGAAAUGUGUGAUGGUUCAAUACGAUGUGGAAAUUCAACUAAUUACCCGAGUAGUCCUGGCCGUAAACGCUGUGAGCAAGGCGUUGCAUGUUCUACAAGAAUAUGCAGUGUCGAAACGAAGGUGUUAAGCUCACCGCCUGGGAAGUAUGGUCGCAAGACUGAAACUUAAAGGAAUUGGCGGGGGAAAGGGCGAAUUCGCGGCCGCUAAAUUCAAUCCGCCCUAUAGUGAGUCGUAUUACAAUUCACUGGCGGGGGUUUUACAAACGCUCGCAGGGGUGAAACUUAAAGGAAUUGGGGGGGGAAAGGCGAAUUCGUUUAACCCUGCGGGACUAGUCCCUUUAGUGAGGGUAAUUCUGGACUUGGCGUAACCUGGCUAGCGUUUUCUGGA
rnacentral:rRNA from 1 species